rnacentral:lncRNA from 1 species
UAGUAAUUAUGAAAAUUUAGUCGCCGAGAACAGCUGAUGAUUUGAGCUUAGUCCGCCGAGGGCUGGUGCCGGAGGAGUUGGAGGUGGUGGGUUAAUAAACGAAUAAAAGGGGAAAGUUGAUGCGUAAGGUAGUAAAAAUCUCACUGAUAAAGGCUCUCAAUCAGGGAUUGGAGAAUGGGAAGCCAAUCCGAGAAAGAGAGAAUUGAUGUAUUGAGAAUUAGGGAAAGGAAUACAAGAUGAAAUACAAUAGAAAGAAAUAUGAUUCUGAACUGCCUCUUCCUCCUAGCUCCCCUGCUUUUAUACCAAUCAUGCGCUGACCUUCCUUAUUCGUAUCCCAGCUGCUCAGCCGACUUUCCAUUUUGGUAACCACCUAACAGAAUCCAGUUGGCGUAACUAACUUGCAUGGCUCUUGCCUGCAUGGCCCAACCAAUUCGCAUGGAGCCAUUCCUAGCUGGCACUAACUCUGACGUGGCCUAACUAACUGCACUGACCUGAGCUUUAUUUCCACAUGGAUAUUUUAGUCACAACAAUACCCCCUCCUUCAAACAGUUCUUGCCCUCAAGAACUGAAAUGAGGAUAUCGCUGUUGGAGAUCAAACCAAUACUCCCAAGUAGCAUCCUCAGGGAAACUGUUACUCCACUGCACCAGCACCUGGGUCGCUGCAGUUCGACCCCUACGCACCAGUCUCCUAUCCAAGAUAGCCACAGGUUCCAUGAGCAACUGACCUUGAUCAGUGAUACAAGUAGGGAUGUGUGGUUGCACAGGUUGAUCACCCACAUGCUUCUUCAAUAGAGAGACAUGGAAGGUGGGGUGAAGCUUAACAUCUGGGGAAGAUGUAGCCUGUAGGCCACAGAACCCACCUUGUCCAAUAUCUGAAAUGGCCCAAAAUAUCGUGGAGAUAACUUCUGGCAAGAGUGACCCCUUAACGAAUGUUGUCUAUAUGGUUGAAGCUUGACAUACACCCAGUCCCCUUGCUCAAAAGUUCGUUCAGACCUGUGCUGAUCAGCCUGUUGUUUCAUUCGAUGUUGAGCUCGAUGCAGGUUAUGUUUCAAUAAGUGGAGAGCAGCUUCCCUUGCAGCCAAACUUCUGUCCACACUAUCAACAUGGGAGCUGCUUGGAAUGUAAGGGACGUGCAAGGGGGGAGGUUGUCCAUACACAAUCUCAUAGGGAGUACUCUUGAUGGCCGAGUGAAAAUUGGUAUUAUACCAGAAUUCUGCCAGGGGCAACCAAAAACACCAUUGUUUUGGUUGGUCACUACACAUACACCUUAGAUAGUGCUCCAAACACCUGUUAACCACCUCAGUCUGACCAUCUGACUGAGGGUGAUAAGCAGUAGACAAACAUAACUGAACUUUCAACAAUUGGAACAGCUCCUUCCAAAAAUGACUGACGAAGAUGGUGUCCCUAUCACUCACUAUGGUGCUAGGAAGGCCAUGGAGCCUAUAGAUGUUGUCCAGGAACACUUGAGCAACUAUCAGUGCCGUGUAAGGAUGUUUGAGAGGAAUAAAAUGAGCAUAUUUGCUGAGUCUGUCGACCACCACAAGGACAGUGUCCUUACCAUUAGAUUUAGGCAAUCCCUCCACAAAAUCCAUAGAUAUGUCCGACCAUACUUUCUCAGGAAUCUUCAAUGGUUGGAGCAAUCCAGGAUAUGCUACAUUUUCAACCUUGUGCCUUUGGCAAGUAUCACACGAAGCCACAAACUGUUCCACCUCCUUCUGCAUAUUCCUCCAGUACACCACCUCCUUGAGUUUCUUGUAGGUCACCUGUACUCCUGAGUGUCCCCAAUAGGGGAGUCAUGCCAUAAUUUGAUGAUUCUCUGCCUUAAGUCAGUAUCAUGCCCCACAACUAAUUUCCCUUUCCUCCUCAAUUGUUGAUGCUGAUAAGUGUAGUGUGUAAGCUGGUGAUUGUACGUAGGAUCUUGCAGUUGCUGUAUCAGCAAUUGCAGCUGGGGAUCUUGAACACAGCUGUUAUGGAUCUCAGUAAGCAAAGCUGACUUAAUGACUGAAAUUGGAGCUAGUGUUGCUGCAUCGGGGUUAGGCUGACGAGACAAUGCAUCAGCCACCACAUUGUCUACCCCCUUCCUGUAUUGAAGCUUGUAGUCAUACCCCAUAAGUUUCGCCACCCAUUUCUGCUGCAUAGGUGUAGACACUCUCUGUUCAAUCAGAUAUUUAAGACUCUGAUGAUCAGUUCUGAUGAUAAAGUGUCUUCCUAACAGAUAAGGUCUCCAUUUCUGCACUGCACUCACAAUGGCGAGCAUCUCCUUCUCAUACACAGAGAGGCCUCUGUGCUUAGUAGCCAAGCCUUGGCUGAAAUAAGCUAAUGGUCUCCCCUUCUGACACAGGACUGCCCCUAUGCCCUCACUUGAGGCAUCUGUCUCCACUUCAAAUGUCUGUGAGAAGUCAGGUAAUGCCAGCACAGGUGGGGAGCUCAUGACCAACUUCAACCUGGAAAAAGCUUCUGUGGCUUGAUCUGUCCAAGUGAAGUUGUUCUUUUUGAGUAGCUCUGUCAGAGGUUUAGCCAGUUUCCCAAAGUCCUUUAUAAACCUCCUGUAGUAUUCUGCUAACCCCAGAAAUCCCCUUAAUGCCUUGAGGGUUGAAGGAAUAGGCCAUUGCUGGAUAGCUUGCACCUUUUGAGGGUCUGCCUGCACUCCCUGUCCUGAGAUCACAUGUCCCAAGUAAGCUACCUGCGUUUGGGCAAAAGAGCACUUGCUCUGCUUCACCUUCAAGCUAUGGUGCCUCACAACCUGACAAAGAUUAGCUGUUGGUCCCUCUGUUGCUGACUGCACAGGCACCAGGAAACAUAGCUGAGCAGAAGCAAUCUGCUCUGGUUUGUGUAGAAUCCUCUGCAUGGUCCUUCUUUUCACCAACUGUAUAGCCUGCUGACCCUUGCCCUUAACACAACUCUCCUUUUACCACUGAGAAAUUCCAUCUUUAAUUCCUCAAAGUUCCACUUGAUAUCACCUAGAGUUGAUAGCCAUUGCACCCCCAACACCAGAUCACAGCCCCCCACCAGCAGUACCAUGGCAUCAGUCUUGAAGGUUUGGUUCUGCAACUUCCAAGUAAAACCAGCACACAAUGUGUUAGUGGUGAUCUUGUUGCCAUCUGCUACUUCUACCACCAGAGGUGGUACUCUCUGCACUCUCAACCCCAAUUUAUUGACUAAAUCUGGGUGGACAAAGUUGUGCGAACUCCCACAAUCUAUGAAAAUGUUGACUGGGGUCUUUCCCACAUGGCCAGUCACCCUCAUUGUUCUAAAAUUAGGAAUAGCAGUUAAGGUCAUGGCAUUUAAGGAAAUAUAAGCCAAAUUACCUUGUGAGACUUCACCCUCCUCCUCGGAUUCCACCUCUACUUCCUCAUCCUCCUCCUCUGUACACACUUCCAAUCGAAAUAAUUGCCUGUUCUUGCAUCUGUGGCCAACUCCAAAUUUCUCAUCACACCAGAAACAGAGGCCUUUUGCCCUCUUUUCAUCCAUCUCUGCGGAUGACAACCUCCUAAAUGGUUUCCUGGUGUAUUCCUCUGCAGUUUUUCCACCUUUAGCCUGGUUAGGGGUGGGCAGAAGUGCCUUACCAUCUCUCCCCCAAUUUCGUUCAAAGCUGUUUUCCUUCCUCCAGGGAGUUUCAAAACUCUUGUCUCCUCUCCACCUAUCUGUCAUAUUGGGAUGGAAGCCUGGCCUGUUCACCCCCUUCUUCUGCUGAGCUAGAAUCUUAGCUUCUUCCAGCUUAGCUAGUGUCCUAGCAUGUUGUAGUGUUUUAGGCAUGAACAUCCUCACGGCUAAUUGUAUUUCUGUUUUUAGACCACUGAGGAAACAGCUGGUGGCAUAAUCUUCAGGCAGAUCCACCCUGUUCAACAAUUCCUCAAACUGCUCCUGGUACUCCAACACUGAUCCUUCUUGUUUCAAUGCCUUCAGCUCUCCCAUCGGAUCAUCAUACAAACAACCUCCAAACCUGGAUGCCAACUCCUUGAUGUAUUCCUCCCAGGCAGGCAAUUCCCUGGUGAUGCGAGAUCUCAUGAAGAUCUGGUGCCAUUGGAGAGCUUUUCCCUCCAAGUUCAUAGCAACCAUUUUUACCUUCACAUGAUUAGGCGUCUCAUCUACAUCAAAAAAUUGUUCAAUCUUAAACAGCCAUCCCUGGAAAUCUUCUCCAUGGAACCUGGGAAACUCCAAGCGAGAGAAACGCGUGGGGGCUUGAUAACUCCUUCCUUGGGAAACUUCAUUGUCAGAGGGAGAGUUCCUUGCGGAUUCCCCCCUCUGAGAGUGCAACUCCAGUACCAGAUUCCUGAGAGCUGCCAUCUCCUGCUCGAAUUGUUCCUUCUGCUCCUUCAUCAUGGCCUUGACGCUCUCCUCUAGCCUCCUGUUAUCUUGAGAUCUAGUACCUUCCGCCAUUGUUACUUGAGCUGGUUUUACCCAGCUCUGAUACCACUGAUGCGUAAGGUAGUAAAAAUCUCACUGAUAAAGGCUCUCAAUCAGGGAUUGGAGAAUGGGAAGCCAAUCCGAGAAAGAGAGAAUUGAUGUAUUGAGAAUUAGGGAAAGGAAUACAAGAUGAAAUACAAUAGAAAGAAAUAUGAUUCUGAACUGCCUCUUCCUCCUAGCUCCCCUGCUUUUAUACCAAUCAUGCGCUGACCUUCCUUAUUCGUAUCCCAGCUGCUCAGCCGACUUUCCAUUUU